rnacentral:rRNA from 1 species
CAGUAGCCACGGUAAUACGUAGGUGGCAAGCGUUGUCCGGAAUUAUUGGGCGUAAAGGGCUCGCAGGCGGUUCCUUAAGUCUGAUGUGAAAGCCCCCGGCUCAACCGGGGAGGGUCAUUGGAAACUGGGAAACUUGAGUGCAGAAGUGGAGAGUGGAAUUCCACGUGUAGCGGUGAAAUGCGUAGAGAUGUGGAGGAACACCAGUGGCGAAGGCGACUCUCUGGUCUGUAACUGACGCUGAGGAGCGAAAGCGUGGGGAGCGAACAGGAUUAGAUACCCCCGUAGUCCCUGUCUCUUAUAU